rnacentral:tmRNA from 1 species
GGGGCUGAUUCUGGAUUUGACGGAAUUCGCGAAACCCAAGGUGCAUGCCGAGGGGCGGUUGGCCUCGUAAAUAGCCGCAACACAUAGUCGCAAACGACGAAAAUUACGCACUGGCAGCUUAAAAAACUGCUUAAUGCCCUCUCUCCCUAGCCUCGUCUCUUAGGAAGGGGAUCAAAGUGAGGUCAAAUAAAAGAGAUCACGUGGAAUACCUAGCCUGAGGUUGAAACGUUAAACUUAAUCAGGCUAGUCUGUUAGUAGUGUGUCUGUCCACAACUAUAUGGCGAAUAUAAAGACUAGACUAAGCAUGUAGUACCGAGGAUGAAAGAAUUUCGGACGCGGGUUCAACUCCCGCCAGCUCCACCA